rnacentral:tRNA from 1 species
GCGCCUGUAGCUCAGCGGAUAGAGCACCUGCCUCCGGAGCAGGGGGCCGCAAGUUCGAGUCUUGCCAGGCGCA